CCUACGGGUGGCAGCAGUGAGGAAUAUUGGUCAAUGGACGAGAGUCUGAUGCAGCCAAGCAGCGUGAAUGAUGACUGCCUUAUGGGUUGUAAACUCUGUUUAUAGAGGAAUAAAACGAGGCACGUGUGCCUUUUUGCUUGUACUAUAUCAUUAAGGAACGGCUAACCACGGGCCAGCAGCCGCGGUAAUACGGAGGGUCCGAGCGUUAUCCGGAUUUAUUGUGUUUAAAGGGAGCGUAGAUGGGUUGUUAAGUCAGUUGGGAAAGUUUGCGGCUCAACCGUAAAAGUGCAAUGGAUACUGGCAGUCUGGAGUACAGUAGAGGUAGGCGGAAUUCGUGGGGUAGCGGUGAAAUGCUUAGAUAUCACGAAGAACCCCGAUUGCGAAGGCAGCUUACUAAACUGUAACUGACAUUGAUGCUCGAAAGUGUGGGUAUCAAACAGGAUUAGAUACCCCUGUAGUC
rnacentral:rRNA from 1 species